UACGUAGGGUGCAAGCGUUGUCCGGAAUUAUUGGGCGUAAAGAGCCCGUAGGCGGUCUGGCACGUCGGCUGUGAAAUCCCGAGGCUCAACCUCGGGUCUGCAGUCGAUACGGGCAAACUAGAGUAUUGCAGGGGAGACUGGAAUUCCUGGUGUAGCGGUGAAAUGCGCAGAUAUCAGGAGGAACACCGGUGGCGAAGGCAGCUCGCUGGGACGUUACUGACGCUGAGGCGCGAAAGCGUGGGGAGCGAACAGG
rnacentral:rRNA from 1 species